AAUAAAAGGAGAGAGAGAAUGUAUAUGAAAAUAAUAAAAAUAAAAUCUUUAUUUCUCAAACUUUGUUUUCCGCUCAUUUUUCCUCUUACCAUUUUGUUACUUUACAGAAUUGUCGCUGAAGAUUGUGGCCAUUAGAUCAACAUAUGACAUCAUCACCCAGAUCUGACGGCUUGGAUCUCUAGGAAUGGACUCUCGGAAGUGUAGCCGGGUGAGCACACAGAAACCAAUAUGGAAAAGCUAGUAUGCUAAAAAAGAUAAUACAUAAAACAAAUAUUACAAAAAAGUACAACACAACAUAAACAUAGAAAAGCAAGUACAAAUAAACAAGUACAAACAAAACAAAUACAUUAAAAUAAGUAAAUACACAGCUAGUACACUGAAACAAGUACAUGCAAAGCUAGUACACUAAAACAAAUACACACAAAGCUAGUACACUAAAAGAGGUACAUCAAAUAAAAAUGAGUACAACACAAC
rnacentral:lncRNA from 1 species